UACGGAGGAUGCGAGCGUUAUCCGGAUUCAUUGGGUUUAAAGGGUGCGUAGGCGGACUGGUAAGUCAGUGGUGAAAACCUGCAGCUUAACUGUAGAAUUGCCAUUGAUACUGUCGGUCUUGAGUUCGGUUAAGGUAGGCGGAAUGUGUAAUGUAGCGGUGAAAUGCUUAGAUAUUACACAGAACACCGAUUGCGAAGGCAGCUUGCUGGACCGAUACUGACGCUGAUGCACGAAAGCGUGGGGAGCGAACAGG
rnacentral:rRNA from 1 species